rnacentral:rRNA from 1 species
AUGCCCCUGCCUCGUACUCCAGCGACCCACUGCUUCCCGGAGCUCCGACGCGCCAACCACCCCAGCCCCUCCCCACCCCCACCCCCGAGCUUCGACUGGGUGGUGGUUUGUUGCAUCUCCACACCGGUGACAGAGAGGAAAUCCACCUUGAUGCCGGCGAGGUUCAUUUCGGGGAGAAGACAACGACCACCCCUGUCCUCCACUCGAUCAGGUGCCAAAAUCGACGACCACGAUGUGUAG